GACGAACGCUGGCGGCGUGCUUAACACAUGCAAGUCGAACGGAAAGGCCCUGCUUUUGUGGGGUUCUCUAGUGGCGAACGGGUGAGUAACACGUGAGUAACCUGCCCUUGACUUUGGGAUAACUUCAGGAAACUGGGGCAAAUACCGGAUAGGAGCUCCUGCUGCAUGGUGGGGGUUGGAAAGUUUCGGCGGUUGGGGAUGGACUCGCGGCUUAUCAGCUUGUUGGUGGGGUAGUGGCUUACCAAGGCUUUGCCGGGUAGCCGGCCUGAGAGGGUGACCGGGCACAUGGGGACUGAGAUACGGCUCAGACUCCUACGGGGGGCAGCAGUGGGGAAUAUGGCACAAUGGGCGGAAGCCUGAUGCAGCAACGCCGCGUGCGGGAUGACGGCCUGCGGGUUGUAAACCGCUUUCGCCUGUGACGAAGCGUGAGUGACGGUAAUGGGUAAAGAAGCACCGGCUAACUACGUG
rnacentral:rRNA from 1 species